CUGAAGUGGAUUAGGUGCCGGUGUAGCUGCUAGUGUUGAAUUUAGAACCGUAGCUAGACAUGGGACUGGAGGACGAACAAAGGAUACUGACCGGGUCCAGAGACCCCAAGGAGGAGGAAGAGGAAGAGGAGGAAUUAGUGGAUCCCCUAAUAACAGUGAGAGAGCAAAGCGAGCAGCUGGAGAAAUGUGUAAAGGCCCGGGAGCGGCUAGAGCUCUGUGAUGAGCAUGUAUCCUCUCGAUCACAUACAGAAGAGGACUGCACAGAGGAGCUCUUUGACUUCUUGCAUGCAAAGGACCACUGCGUGGCCCACAAACUCUUUAACAGCUUGAAAUAAAUGUGCAGAGUUGUUUGCACCAGCCUUCAUCACCUGGGCAUCAGGAUAUUUCCUUAUGGUUUUGAAUAUGCCAUUUGUUUCUAUUUGUGUAACUAAGUUCAUAUGAACCUUAUGGAUUUUGGCUUAGGCAAAUAGCUUCUAUGUAAUUAGCAGUGAUUCCAUCUUAAUAAAGUUCUGUGACCUAAAAAA